UACAGAGGUCCCAAGCGUUACUGAGAAUCACUGGGUUAAAGGGUGCGUAGGUGGUCCGUUAAGUCAGUUGUGAAAUCCCCGGGCUCAACCCGGGAAAUGCUUCUGAUACUGGCGGACUUGAGGCCAGUAGGGGUCACUAGAACUGACGGUGGAGCGGUGAAAUGCGUAGAUAUCGUCAGGAAUGCCGGUGGUGAAGACGGGUGACUGGGCUGGUUCUGACACUGAGGCACGAAAGCGUGGGGAGCGAACGGG
rnacentral:rRNA from 1 species